UACGUAGGCAGCGAGCGUUGUUCGGAGUUACUGGGCGUAAAGGGCGUGCAGGCGGUUUGUUAAGUGCAGGGUGAAAGCUCCCGGCUCAACUGGGAGAGGUCCUUGCAUACUGGCGAACUCGAGGGAGGCAGAGGAAAGUGGAAUUCCCGGUGUAGUGGUGAUAUGCGUAGAUAUCGGGAGGAACACCUGUGGCGAAGGCGGCUUUCUGGGCCUUACCUGACGCUGAGACGCGAAAGCGUGGGGAGCGAACAGG
rnacentral:rRNA from 1 species